GCCGGGGUGGCGGAAUGGUAGACGCGAAGGCCUUAAGAGCCUUUGGAGGGUUUCCUCCGUGUGGGUUCGAGUCCCUCCCCCGGCA
rnacentral:tRNA from 1 species